AUUGAACGCUGGCGGCAGGCCUAACACAUGCAAGUCGAGCGAGCGGCGGACGGGGGAGUAAAGUGUGGGGAAUGCCCGAUAGAGGGGGAGAACAACUGGAAACGGUAGCUAAUACCGCAUACUAUCGGAUAACCCAUAUGGGAUGAGCUAGUAGUUGAGGUAAUGGCUCACCUAGGCGACGAUCCCGCGCUGUUCUGAGAGGAUGAGCAGCCCCACUGGUAUGGAGACACGGCCCAGACUCUUCCGGAGGAAGCAGUGGGGAAUAUUGCACAAUGGGUGCAAGCCUGAUGCAGCCAGGCCGGGUGUAUGAAGAAGGCCUUAGGUUUGUAAAGUACUUUCAGUGGGGAGGCGUUACCGGCAGAAGAAGCACCGGCUAACUCCGUGCCAGCAGCCGCGGUAAUAC
rnacentral:rRNA from 1 species